rnacentral:rRNA from 1 species
ACGGAAGGCAGCAGUGGGGAAUAUUGCACAAUGGGGGAAACCCUGAUGCAGCGACGCCGCGUGAGCGAAGAAGUAUCUCGGUAUGUAAAGCUCUAUCAGCAGGGAAGAUAAUGACGGUACCUGACUAAGAAGCCCCGGCUAACUACGUGCCAGCAGCCGCGGUAAUACGUAGGGGGCAAGCGUUGUCCGGAAUGAUUGGGCGUAAAGGGCGCGUAGGCGGCUUUCUAAGUCUGAAGUGAAAGUCCUGCUUUUAAGGUGGGAACUGCUUUGGAUACUGGAGAGCUUGAGUGCAGGAGAGGUAAGCGGAAUUCCCGGUGUAGCGGUGAAAUGCGUAGAGAUCGGGAGGAACACCAGUGGCGAAGGCGGCUUACUGGACUGUAACUGACGCUGAGGCGCGAAAGUGUGGGGAGCAAACAGGAUUAGAUACCCUGGUA